rnacentral:rRNA from 1 species
UACAGAGGGUGCGAGCGUUAAUCGGAAUUACUGGGCGUAAAGCGCGCGUAGGCGGCUUUGCAAGUCGGGUGUGAAAUCCCCAGGCUUAACCUGGGAACUGCAUUCGAGACUGCAUUGCUAGAGUGUGGGAGAGGCGCGUGGAAUUGCAGGUGUAGCGGUGAAAUGCGUAGAUAUCUGCAGGAACACCCGUGGCGAAAGCGGCGCGCUGGACCACUACUGACGCUGAGGAACGAAAGCUAGGGGAGCAAACAGG